GGGCCCGCACAAGCGGUGGAGCAUGUGGUUUAAUUCGAUGAUACGCGAGGAACCUUACCAGGGCUUAAAUGUAAGUUGCAUAGACCAGAGAUGGUCUUUUCUUCGGACUACUUACAAGGUGCUGCAUGGUUGUCGUCAGCUCGUGCCGUGAGGUGUCAGGUUAAGUCCUAUAACGAGCGCAACCCCUGUCGUUAGUUGCCAUCAAGUAAAGUUGGGUACUCUAGCGAGACUGCCGGUGCAAACCGUGAGGAAGGUGGGGAUGACGUCAAAUCAUCACGGCCCUUACGUCCUGGCUACACACGUGCUACAAUGGCCGGUACAGAGAGCAGCCACUACGCGAGUAGGAGCG
rnacentral:rRNA from 1 species